GUCGGCUCAGCAAAUAUCCAGCCCAAAAUACACCACUAGUGGUCUGUUCUUAAAGACCAAAGAACCAGGCCCUUUUUCUUCCUCCUUUCUUGCUGCUACCCCUCAACUAUUUCAUUGCUUGUCAAUGCUCAGCAAGGAAGACAGCCUAACAGCAGCCCUCCCACCUGUGGUUGCUUGCUCCCCCUGUUACGUACAACCACAAGUCAGCCACAGAAUUCUGCACACAACCCAUUGUGCAAGGCUGUGGAGCUGCCUCAGAGUGAGACCCAGAGACAAAGCAGCCAUUUAGCUUGCCUUCUUUUAGCUACUCAACAAUGAAACAUUUUCACAGAAAGACACCUGGAGGUGGAAGACUUGUCACCGGUACUUCAGAUGAAGCAGGUUUCACAUGCUUACCUAGGAAUGCUCCUUGACAAGAUAAUCUCCUCAGACAUAAGCCCGGUCACAGAAAAGUCUCUCUAAGAAUUUUACCCGUCCAUCUGGAGUUGGCGAAAGGUGUGAUACCCCAGCAAACCUUUUAGCUAAAGGAUGUCAAUUAAACUUCAUCGAAAACCCUGUCUCCCAAGUAGAAAUACUUAAAAAUAAGCCUCUCAGUGUAGGCAGACAGAAAAAUAGUUCUGACAUUGUUCAGAUUGCACCUCAAAGCUUGAUCCUUAAGUUGAGACCAGGUGGUGCGCAGACUCUGCAGGUGCAUGUCCGCCAGACUGAGGACUACCCGGUGGAUUUGUAUUACCUCAUGGACCUCUCUGCCUCCAUGGAUGAUGACCUCAACACAAUCAAGGAGCUGGGCUCCCGGCUUUCCAAAGAGAUGUCUAAAUUAACCAGCAACUUUAGACUGGGCUUUGGAUCUUUUGUAGAAAAACCUGUAUCCCCUUUUGUGAAAACAACACCGGAAGAAAUUGCCAACCCUUGCAGGCUAAGAAAGUAACAACAAAAUAUGAACAUUUGUUAGAAAAUGAACUCUUGCCUGUAAUCCCAGCACUUUUGGAGGCCGAGGCAGGCAGAUUGCUUGAGCUCAGGAGUUCAUGACCAGCUUGGGCAACAUGUAGUAUUCCAUACUUCUGUUUACCUACAUUUGGAUUCAAGCAUAUUUUGCCAUUGACAAAUGAUGCUGAAAGAUUCAAUGAAAUUGUGAAGAAUCAGAAAAUUUCUGCUAAUAUUGACACACCCGAAGGUGGAUUUGAUGCAAUUAUGCAAGCUGCUGUGUGUAAGGAAAAAAUUGGCUGGCGGAAUGACUCCCUCCACCUCCUGGUCUUUGUGAGUGAUGCUGAUUCUCAUUUUGGAAUGGACAGCAAACUAGCAGGCAUCGUCAUUCCUAAUGACGGGCUCUGUCACUUGGACAGCAAGAAUGAAUACUCCAUGUCAACUGUCUUGGAAUAUCCAACAAUUGGACAACUCAUUGAUAAACUGGUACAAAACAAUGUGUUAUUGAUCUUCGCUGUAACCCAAGAACAAGUUCAUUUAUAUGAGAAUUACGCAAAACUUAUUCCUGGAGCUACAGUAGGGCUACUUCAGAAGGACUCCGGAAACAUUCUCCAGCUGAUCAUCUCAGCUUAUGAAG
rnacentral:sRNA from 1 species